GACGAACGCUGGCGGCGUGCCUAAUACAUGCAAGUAGAACGCUGAAGGAGGAGCUUGCUUCUCUGGAUGAGUUGCGAACGGGUGAGUAACGCGUAGGUAACCUGCCUGGUAGCGGGGGAUAACUAUUGGAAACGAUAGCUAAUACCGCAUAAUAGUAGAUGUUGCAUGACAUUUGCUUAAAAGGUGCAAUUGCAUCACUACCAGAUGGACCUGCGUUGUAUUAGCUAGUUGGUGAGGUAACGGCUCACCAAGGCAACGAUACAUAGCCGACCUGAGAGGGUGAUCGGCCACACUGGGACUGAGACACGGCCCAGACUCCUACGGGAGGCAGCAGUAGGGAAUCUUCGGCAAUGGACGGAAGUCUGACCGAGCAACGCCGCGUGAGUGAAGAAGGUUUUCGGAUCGUAAAGCUCUGUUGUAAGAGAAGAACGAGUGUGAGAGUGGAAAGUUCACAAUGUGACGGUAUCUUACCAGAAAGGGACGGCUAACUACGUG
rnacentral:rRNA from 1 species